ACGCACGCUGGCGGCAUGCCUCACCCCUGCAAGUCGCACGAGACCUUCGGGUCUAGUGGCGCACGGGUGCGUAACGCGUGGGAACCUGCCCUUAGGUUCGGAAUAACUCCCCGAAAGGGGUGCUAAUACCGGAUAAUGUCUUCGGACCAAAGAUUUAUCGCCUUUGGAUGGGCCCGCGCUGGAUUAGCUAGUUGGUAGGGUAAAAGCCUACCAAGGCGACGAUCCAUAGCUGGUCUGAGAGGAUGAUCAGCCACACUGGGACUGAGACACGGCCCAGACUCCUACGGGAGGCAGCAGUGGGGAAUAUUGGACAAUGGGCGAAAGCCUGAUCCAGCAAUGCCGCGUGAGUGAUGAAGGCCUUAGGGUUGUAAAGCUCUUUUACCCGGGAUGAUAAUGACAGUACCGGGAGAAUAAGCGCCGGCUAACUCCGUG
rnacentral:rRNA from 1 species